rnacentral:rRNA from 1 species
UACGUAGGGCGCAAGCGUUGUCCGGAAUUAUUGGGCGUAAAGGGCUCGUAGGCGGCGUGUCGCGUCGGGAGUGAAAGACCGGGGCUUAACCCCGGUUCUGCUUCCGGUACGGGCAUGCUGGAGUGUGGCAGGGGAGACUGGAAUUCCUGGUGUAGCGGUGGAAUGCGCAGAUAUCAGGAGGAACACCGGUGGCGAAGGCGGGUCUCUGGGCCAUUACUGACGCUGAGGAGCGAAAGCGUGGGGAGCGAACAGG